rnacentral:rRNA from 1 species
UCCCUACGGGACGCAGCAGUAGGGAAUCUUCCACAAUGGACGAAAGUCUGAUGGAGCAACGCCGCGUGAGUGAAGAAGGGUUUCGGCUCGUAAAGCUCUGUUGGUAGUGAAGAAAGAUAGAGUUAGUAACUGGCCUUUAUUUUACGGUAAUUACUUAGAAAGUCACGGCUAACUACGUGCCAGCAGCCGCGGUAAUACGUAGGUGGCAAGCGUUUUCCGGAUUUAUUGGGCGUAAAGCGAGUGCAGGCGG